rnacentral:rRNA from 1 species
AGUCGUAACAAGGUUUCCGUAGGUGAACCUGCGGAAGGAUCAUUAAUGAAUUUUAGGACGUUCUUUUUAGAAGUCCGACCCUUUCAUUUUCUUACACCGUGCACACACUUCUUUUUUACACACACUUUUAACACCUUAGUAUAAGAAUGUAAUAGUCUCUUAAUUGAGCAUAAAUAAAAACAAAACUUUCAGCAACGGAUCUCUUGGCUCUCGCAUCGAUGAAGAACGCAGCGAAUUGCGAUAAGUAAUGUGAAUUGCAGAAUUCAGUGAAUCAUCGAAUCUUUGAACGCACCUGGCACUCUUUGGUAUUCCGAAGAGUAUGUCUGUUUGAGUGUCAUGAAACUCUCAACCCCCCUAUUUUGUAAUGAGAUGGGCGUGGGCUUGGAUUAUGGUUGUCUGUUGGCGUAAUUGCCGGCUCAACUGAAAUACACGAGCAACCCUACUGAAAUAAACGGUUUGACUUGGCGUAAUAAUUAUUUCGCUAAGGACGUUUUCUUCAAUUAUAAGAGGUGCUUCUAAUUCGCUUCUAAUAGCAUUUAAGCUUUAGACCUCAAAUCAGUCAGGACUACCCGCUGAACUUAAGCAUAUCAAUAUAAAAGUCG